rnacentral:siRNA from 1 species
UUCGCUACUUUCAGCGCUCGGU